AGUGAACGCUGGCGGUAGGCCUAACACAUGCAAGUCGAACGGCAGCACAGUAAGAGCUUGCUCUUACGGGUGGCGAGUGGCGGACGGGUGAGGAAUACAUCGGAAUCUACUUUUUCGUGGGGGAUAACGUAGGGAAACUUACGCUAAUACCGCAUACGACCUACGGGUGAAAGCAGGGGAUCUUCGGACCUUUCGCGAUUGAAUGAGCCGAUGUCGGAUUAGCUAGUUGGCGGGGUAAAGGCCCACCAAGGCGACGAUCCGUAGCUGGUCUGAGAGGAUGAUCAGCCACACUGGAACUGAGACACGGUCCAGACUCCUACGGGAGGCAGAAGUGGGGAAUAUUGGACAAUGGGCGAAAGCCUGAUCCAGCCAUACCGCGUGGGUGAAGAAGGCCUUCGGGUUGUAAAGCCCUUUUGUUGGGAAAGAAAAGCAGCAGGUUAAUACCCCGCUGUUCUGACGGUACCCAAAGAAUAAGCACCGGCUAACUUCGU
rnacentral:rRNA from 1 species